UUUUUUGUAUUUUUUAGUAGAGACGGGAUUUCACCAUGUUAGCCAGGAUGGUCUCGAUCUCCUGACCUCGUGAUCCGCCUGUCUCGGCCUCCCAAAGUGCUGGGAUUACAGGCUUGAGCCACCGCACCCGGUCGGCCCCAAGCGCUUCUUAUUGGCUAAUGUGGAGAGAACCUGGACACCCAUUGGCUGAAAUCUCCGUCUAAUUGAGGCUGACUGAGAGCUUCCCUUCCUACUGUGUUGCCUGGAAGCGAACUGUCCGCCUAGUAACAUCUGAUCGCGUUUCCAAUUGGUCACCGUUUACGGAAGCCCGCCCUCCCUUUUCCGGAAGCCCGGCGGACGCUGGGGCUGCAGGUGGAGUACAGGUGCACAGUGGGAAGUGUGAUUGCGCAGAGUUGGGCUGUUCGGCCAAGCGCCCGCCGGACAUGGGACGCUGGAAGGUCAGCGGCGUGAAGUCCUCGCCUUCAGCGUCCGCGGCUGGGAAAUUGGCUGUCGCCACGGCGGGAACUAGGACUCUGGCUGCGUCCCGGCCCUUCCUCAUCAGUCCACCGGACUCUGGGGCGCGCGCACUGGCGCGGAUGUAGUUUCCUCACCUCUGACCCGUAUUGUCUUGAGAUUAAAGGAAUCAGGAGCUUCUUUUGCUAUUGUUGUUUUGGAUGCAUUGGAAGGUCCAGAUUUUGAAGAAAUCUCUCUAGAGGUUGAACAGAGCUGCUCCUGGAUCCCGCAGCAGCGAGGAGACCUGAAGACCAGAGGAAACACAGCAAAUGGAGUCUUGCUCUGUUGCCCAGUCUGGAGUGUAGUGUGGCAAUCUUGGCUCACUGAAAGCUCUGCCUCCCGGGUUCACGCCAUUCUCCCCCCUCAGCCCCCGGAGUAGCUGGGACUACAGGCUCCCGCCACCACGCCCGGCUAAUUUUGUUUUUGCAUUCUUAG